rnacentral:pre_miRNA from 1 species
UUCUCUCUGCUUUCAGCUUCUUUACAGUGUUGCCUUGUGGCAUGGAGUUCAAGCAGCAUUGUACAGGGCUAACAAAGCACAGAGAGC